rnacentral:rRNA from 1 species
UACGGGGGGGGCAAGCGUUGUUCGGAAUUACUGGGCGUAAAGGGCUCGUAGGCGGCCAACUAAGUCGCACGUGAAAUCCCUCGGCUUAACCGGGGAACUGCGUGUGAUACUGGAUGGCUUGAGUUUGGGAGAGGGAUGCGGAAUUCCAGGUGUAGCGGUGAAAUGCGUAGAUAUCUGGAGGAACACCGGUGGCGAAGGCGGCAUCCUGGACCAAUACUGACGCUGAGGAGCGAAAGCCAGGGGAGCAAACGGG